rnacentral:misc_RNA from 1 species
CAACGUUCUUCCCCGAUGGAUCGUUUAUCUUAUUGUUGGUCACGGGUGACCACCGUAGCUUCUUGGUAACAGUUGAUAGCGACGUAUUAUAACGAGGCUUCGUUUAUUUCAACAAACCAUUCGCGUUCGUUGUUUGGUCGUAAGCAAAACGUGCAGAAUAUAUCGUUGAAACGUGUAGAAGAUAUUAGUAAACGGUAUUUGCUCAUUGUAUAUAUAAUGGUAAGAUAAAAUAACGGUUCGAAGGCGAAUCGAUGUUUCUAGAACUCGCUGUUUGGCAACAACUACGCGUUUAUCGCUACUUUGUGUAUAUUUCGACGGUCAUGUAAGACGAUCUGUCUGCGACACUGUAGUACCAAGGCAGACGGUUAGGAACACGGCCUAUAGUGAGCCUCGGGGCGUAACAAC